rnacentral:rRNA from 1 species
GUGUCAGCCGCCGCGGUAAGACGUAGGAGGCAAGCGUUAUCCGGAUUCACUGGGCGUAAAGCGCGUGCAGGUGGUGCUUUAAGUUGGGCGUGAAAUCUCCCGGCUUAACUGGGAGGGGCCGUUCAAUACUGAAGCACUUGAGGGCAGGAGAGGGAGGUGGAAUUCCCGGUGUAGUGGUGAAAUGCGUAGAUAUCGGGAGGAACACCAGUGGCGAAGGCGGCCUCCUGGCCUGUUCCUGACACUAAGACGCGAAAGCUAGGGGAGCGAACGGGAUUAGAUACCCCGGUAGUCCUAGCCGUAAACGAUGGAUACUAGGUGUGGGUGGCAUUGACCCCAUCCGUGCCGAAGCUAACGCGAUAAGUAUCCCGCCUGGGGACUACGGCCGCAAGGUUAAAACUCAAAUGAAUUGGCGGGG